AUGAGGAGUGCAGGAGGAGUGCACCUGGCUGUUGAUGGGCGUUGCGAUUCGCCGGGCUACAGCGCAAAAUACUGCACAUACAGCUUCUACUGCAAUGCUCUCCACAAGAUUGUACACAAGGAGCAAGUGCAAGUUGGUGAGUGCGAUGAGGUGAAAUCCAGCUCGCAGAUAGAGAAGGUGGGCUUUGUCCGAGCCCUCAACUACCUGCAAGAUGAAGGCAUAAACAUCAUGUCCAUUACCACAGACCGGCACAGUGCCAAUAAAAAGAAAAUUGCCAACAACCACCAGACCAUGACACACUUUUUUGACAGUUGGCACAUGUCAAAAGCUCACAGCAGCCAGUUAGCGACCUUGCAACAAAAACUAAAAAGCUGGGUUCAGCCCACCAGCAACCAUCUCUACUGGUGUGCUGCGGUUGGUAAAGGAGAUGAACCAACGGCAUUGGAUUUGUGGCAUACGAUUAAACGGCAUGUUGUGGAUCUUCAUGAUGGCCACGAAGGUAGCCUCACUCAGUGUCUGCAUGGUCCCCUGACAAACAAAGAGUGGCUUAGCCAAGGAUCACCAGCCUAUAAAGCAUUUCUGAAAGUGGUGAUGGCACCAACAUUGUUGCGUGACCUGAAGAAAGUGUCACCCUCAUGCCAUACAUAUGGACUAGAGUCGUUUCAAAGCGUCUUAAUUAAAUUUGCACCGAAGUCCCUUGCUUUUUCGUAUGAGGGAAUGCGUGCCCGUACCUACCUCGCCAUUUUGCACUUCAAUGAACAUAGCAAGCGACUCCAGGCCCAAACCGCUGAGGGAGAAGACAGGUCGCAUGUGAAGGCCCCAAAAGCCCGGAAAGAUCACCUGGCAGCAUUCCCCCUCACAACGGAGCCAGCUUAUGAGUAUGGGGACACUUUGUUCAACGAAGUAUUGGAACGGCUUCAGCGUCUGUCAUCGUUCAGGGAAGCCAACGCCGAAGUCUCAGCACUCCCCCCACCACCUCCACCCAUGAUUCCAAGAGUGCAACCGAGGCCCUCCAAAGAAAACCUCGGAGCAGUCCACUAGUCACGGUUUGGGAAGAAUUAA